CGCUGGCGGCGUGCUUAACACAUGCAAGUCGAACGGUAAGGCCCUUCGGGGUACACGAGUGGCGAACGGGUGAGUAACACGUGGGUGAUCUGCCCUGCACUUCGGGAUAAGCCUGGGAAACUGGGUCUAAUACCGGAUAGGACCAUGGACUUCACGGUUUGUGGUGGAAAGCUUUUGCGGUGUGGGAUGGGCCCGCGGCCUAUCAGGCUUGUUGGUGGGGUAAUGGCCUACCAAGGCGACGACGGGUAGCCGGCCUGAGAGGGUGUCCGGCCACACUGGGACUGAGAUACGGCCCAGACUCCUACGGGAGGCAGCAGUGGGGAAUAUUGCACAAUGGGCGCAAGCCUGAUGCAGCGACGCCGCGUGAGGGAUGACGGCCUUCGGGUUGUAAACCUCUUUCAAUAGGGACGAAGCGCAAGUGACGGUACCUAUAGAAGAAGCACCGGCCAACUACGUG
rnacentral:rRNA from 1 species